UCUGUGGACUGUGGUGAAACCAGAAACUGCACCCAGGCGAUUUUGAGGAGUUUGACAGCUUUUUUGACUACAGUAUCAGUCAGCGUUCAUCGAUAAUCCUGGAAUUAUUUGUUUCGUGCUACAGCAUAAAAGAUCUGCACCUGCGCGUUUGGAAGUGUAUCUACGCAAUAAGUUCAGCUUUCAGAUGCGUUCUAGAGAGAGAUACAGGCUCCACUUUCUGCUGCGUUCUGCCGAGAGCUAGCUGCUCCUCUGACUGAGAGCUUUUCAAAGCAAAACAUACAUAAAACAAAAUGUCUAUGGAGUUAGAUGUGUUUGUGGGGAACACUACUGUCCUGGAUCAAGACGUGUACCAACUGUGGUUGGACGGACACACAGUCUCAGAUGUAGUGAAGAUACAGAUGGAAGCAGGUGCCUUGUAGGAGUGUGAAGCCAAUGCAGAAGUUCUGCACAGUGACACCACGGUGA